rnacentral:rRNA from 1 species
GUGCCAGCCGCCGCGGUAAUACGGAGGGUGCAAGCGUUGUCCGGAAUCACUGGGCGUAAAGGGUGCGCAGGCGGGACAGCAAGUCGGAGGUGAAAGCCCGUGGCUCAACCACGGAAGUGCCUUCGAAACUGUUGCCCUUGAGUCUCGGAGAGGUUGCCGGAAUUCGUGGUGUAGCGGUGAAAUGCGUAGAUAUCACGAGGAACACCAGAGGCGAAAGCGGGCAACUGGACGGGUACUGACGCUCAGGCACGAAAGCGCGGGGAGCAAACGGGAUUAGAAACCCGUGUAGUCC